rnacentral:rRNA from 1 species
GCCGCGACCCGUUGCUGGGGACGUCGAAGGCCCGGGUGGACUGGUACCCCGACGCCGUGCUGCUUUAGUAGCAUGACGAAGGGGGAAACCUCCGGUGUCCUGGCUGCCCUGCGACGGUCGUGCAGAUGAGGGGCGAAUAAACGUCACUCUCGCGGCGUGCAAAAGGUCGGUGACCCACCCGACCCGUCUUGAAACACGGACCAAGGAGUCUAACAUGUGUGCGAGUCAUUGGGUGCACUAAACCCAGAGGCGUAAUGAAAGUGAAAGGUGGGCGUCCCGGGGUUCCCUCACUGAGGGGGUUCCGGUCGGCGCCUACCGGGGCCGAUCCUCGACAUGCCGUCGCUUCGCCGGCGUCUCUUCCCACACCAAAGCGGGGCCGCCAAGACGGGGCUGCUGGCGCGGGGUGAGAACCUUUCCCUCGUGGCCUAGCCUCCGGUCCCGUGGGUACCCGGCGAGCGCGACAGUCCGGCUGCUGCUGUUGUCGGACCUGUUGAAGGCCAUAGCAGUAGUAGCCGCCUGUACGCAGGGGGGCGCAGGCCCGGGACUUGCCAUUUGACGCCGUCGCGUAAAUCUGUUGUUGGCCUCGCCGGCUCUGCUUGGGCUCUCGGUUGGCGGGCCGGGCGCCAGGCGGCGGGCUUUAGGAGGAGGGCAUACACUGUCCAAGUCCGGGUCCGUCCGUCCCGCGCGGUCUUUGCCUUCCG